rnacentral:tRNA from 1 species
GGGGCUCAGAGGCAGAGCGCUUGCCUAGCGUGCAUGGGGCACUGAGUUCGAUUCUCAGCCCU